rnacentral:rRNA from 1 species
GGGAGUAAUGUCUGGGAAACGGCCUGAUGGAGGGGGAUAACUACUGGAAACGGUAGCUAAUACCGCAUAACGUCGCAAGACCAAAGUGGGGGACCUUCGGGCCUCAUGCCAUCAGAUGUGCCCAGAUGGGAUUAGCUAGUAGGUGGGGUAACGGCUCACCUAGGCGACGAUCCCUAGCUGGUCUGAGAGGAUGACCAGCCACACUGGAACUGAGACACGGUCCAG